CUUUUUUGUAAUGGCUGGUGAUCCUGCACCUUUGACCAUUGUCUAAGAGCACAUGGACUUCGUCAUCAUUAGUGCUUCGCAAAGCUCAGGUCAGUGGUGGCUGGCCCACUCCAGGAUUCUAAGGUGCGGGAGGUUCCUCCACCCCAACUGAACAUCAAGGGGCCCCGGCGUACUCCGUUCGAUCCAUCCUGGAUUCGAGACGUCGGGCGAGGGGCCUUCAGUACCUCGUGGAAAGGGAGGGGUACGGUCCGAAGGAGAGAUGCUGGGUUCCAGUGGAGGACGUGUUAGAUCCUUCCCUGCUGCAAGAGUUCCACCGUCUCCAUCCAGAUCGCCCUGCGCCUCGUCCUCCGGCUCGUCCCCGCCGCGUGGGGGGGUACUGUCAUGACUUCUGCCGAAGUCGAUGCCUCUCCUUGUUCGGGCGGUGCUCGGCGGUCGACGUCACCGGUCUUCAAGCCAUCAUUGAUCCAUUUGUCAUUUUCCAUUGGUCUUGUCUUCCUUAACACCUGGUUCCAAUCCCAUUCAUUACAUGUUGUGUAUUUCCCCUCUGUUUCCCCUCAUGUCCUGGUCAGAGAUUGUUUGUUUGUAUGUUGGUGUAUUAUAUAUUAGUGCGCAACGGGUUCUUCUUCCCACUUUUAUUUAUGUUGUAUUUUUGACCAUGGAGUUUUGUCAAGUCUAUUAAACGACUCCAUUUAUACCAAG